AAUAUAUUUAAAUUCGUGGCAUUUGAGAAAAGCAAACAAAUAAAUAAAUAACACAUUAAAAGAUCAAACACUAUCAUAUAGUGUUGCUUUAUUCCAAAUGGUGUAGAUUACAAGAUUUUAUCACCAAGUUCUUGAAAUAUUUGUGUCAAUUACCAUUGUUUGCCCUCUUAUCCAAUUAUAAAAUUUCCUAAAUUUAGAGUUAUCUCCAUAUAUAGAAAGAGCACGAUCAUUACAAGUAUCAAUAUAUGUUGUCAUUGCACUAAGAUCAACAUGGGUUGUAUUAUAGUAUUUUGCCUGACAUCUUAUUCAGUCUUCCUCAUUGCAUCCAUUGCAAGUCCAUACACCUCCUUGCAUGUCUUAAGACAUUAAUCCGUGGCGUACGUGUCCCUUUGAGGCGACAUGAGUCUUUUUUGAAAUUCCAAUGGUUUUCUUAAAGGACGAGGAUUUGGAAAAGGAAAAGGACAAUGAUGAGAAUGGGGUCGAUUUAGAUGGAGAAUGGGGAGGUGCUUAAAAUUUAGGGAUAUUGUAUCGCUUAGGUGGGAGGGGUUUCUUAUAGGACGAGGGUGUGGGCGAGGACGGUUUAGAUGGAGAAAGGGGAGGUGCUUGGGAUUUAGGGACAUUGUAUCCCUUAGGCGAGAGGGGUUUCUUAUAGGACGGGGGUAAGGGCGACGAUGGUUUAGAUGAAGAAAGAGAAGGUGCUUGGGAUUUAGGGACAUUGUAUCCCUUAGGUAGGUGGGUUUCCUAAUAGGAUGAGGGUGAGGUCGAGGAUGAGGAUGAGGACAAGAAUGAGGAUGAAAACGAGGACGAUUUAGAUGCUUGGAAUUUAGGAAUAAAGAAUGUUGCUUUAGAUGGAAGGGUUGUCAGGAAUAGAGAAAUGACAAGGACUAGAAAAACUUGGUUAUAAAAUGCCAUUGUCUUUCUUUUUAAUUUAAUAAUAGAGAGAAAGUUAAAAAGAAAGACAAUGGAAAAAAAAAAGAUGCACAAUAUGGAGAUUCAUUCGGGGUGUAUUUAUAUCUAAAAUGAGCUAUAGAUUUCUUG
rnacentral:lncRNA from 1 species